ensembl:lncRNA
AUGCACAUGGGCACACACACGGGCACAUGUACACACACACGGGCACAUGCACAAUGCACACACAUGGGCACAUACACGCACACACGGGCACACACACGGGCACAUGUACACACACACGGGCACAUGCACAAUGCACACACACGGCACGUACACGCACACACGGGCACACAGGCACAUGUACACACACACGGGCACAUGCACAAUGCACACACAUGGGCACGUACAUGCACACACGGGCACACAGGCACAUGUACACACACACGGGCACAUGCACAAUGCACACACAUGGGCACGUACAUGCACACACGGGCACACACACGGGCACAUGUACACACACACGGGCACAUGCACAAUGCACACACACGGCACGUACACGCACACACGGGCACACAGGCACAUGUACACACACACGGGCACAUGCACAAUGCACACACACGGGCACAUACACGCACACACGGGCACACAGGCACAUGUACACACACACGGGCACAUGCACAAUGCACACACAUGGGCACAUACACGCACACACGGGCACACACACGGGCACAUGUACACACACACGGGCACAUGCACAAUGCACACACACGGCACGUACACGCACACACGGGCACACAGGCACAUGUACACACACACAGGCACAUGCACAAUGCACACACAUGGGCACGUACACGGGCACACAGGCACAUGUACACACACGGGCACAUGCACGAUGCAUACACACGGCACGUACAUGCACACACGGGCACACAGGCACAUGUACACACACAUGGGCACAUGCACAAUGCACACACAUGGGCACGUACACACACACACGGGCACACAGGCACAUGUACACACACAUGGGCACAUACACAAUGCACACACAUGGGCACGUACACACAGGCGCACACGCACACACGGGCACAUACACACAUGCGCACAUACACACAUGCGCACACAGGCAUGUACACGCACACGGGCACAUACACACAUGGGCACACACGCACAUGCGGGCACAUACACACUGCACGCACACGAACAUACACACAUGCACACACGGGCACGUACACACACACGGGCACACAGGCACAUGUACACACACACAUGGGCACAUACACAAUGCACACCCAUGGGCACGUACACACAGGCGCACACGCACACGCAUGCACACAUACACACACGGGCACACACGCACAUCUGGGCACAUACACACAUGCACACACACACGCACACACAGGCACGUACACACCAGCACACACACGGGCACACACACGUGCACAUACAUGCACACGGGCACACACGCACAUACAUGCACAGGAGCACAGCUCAGUCUCUCCCAAAAGGGCGUCUCUCGUGGUUAAGCAGCAGCCCCCCAGAGCCGGGCACCGCCAGGGCGAAGCAGCCCCGCCGGCACACGGCCUCAGCGUCCGCCCCCCCCCCCCCGGCCCCGGGACGCCCAGACCUCCGGCCGACGGCCUUCACAGAGGCUCCUCCCUGCUCGGGCUGUUGGCUGCCCCCCACCUGCCACCUGCCCCGUCUGGGCCCUCUUCACGGGGGACACUCGCGGCCCCUUCUCAGGGGCCUCCCUGGGACCCGGCGGGGACCCUCCACCCGCCCUACCCCAGCCCGGCCGAGUCCAGG